UGCCCGGUAGUGUAAUUGGUAACACAGCAGAAUUUGGGUCUGUUUUUUGUGGUUCGAGUCCACACCGGGCAGCCA
rnacentral:tRNA from 1 species